rnacentral:rRNA from 1 species
CGAAUGCUGACGUGAGUAACGACAAAACGGGUGAAAAACCCGUUCGCCGAAAGACCAAGGGUUCCAGUCCAACGUUAAUCGGGGCUGGGUGAGUCGACCCCUAAGGCGAGGCCGAAAGGCGUAGUCGAUGGGAAAAUGGUUAAUAUUCCAUUACUUCUGUGUAAUGCGAUGAGAGGACGGAGAAGGCUAAAUCAGCCUGGCGUUGGUUGUCCAGGUGAAAGGAUGUAGGCAUGUAUCUUAGGCAAAUCCGGGGUACUCUAUGCUGAGAUCUGAUAGCAAGCUGUACUUGUACAGCGAAGUGGUUGAUGCCAUGCUUCCAGGAAAAGUCUCUAAGCUUCAGUUACACAGGAAUCGUACCCGAAACCGACACAGGUGGUCAGGUCGAGUAGACCAAGGCGCUUGAGAGAACUCUGCUGAAGGAACUAGGCAAAAUGGUACCGUAACUUCGGGAGAAGGUACGCUGUUGUUGGUGAUGGAACUCGCUUCCUGAGCUGACGACAGCCGCAGAAACCAGGCCGCUGCAACUGUUUAUUAAAAACAUAGCACUCUGCAAACACGAAAGUGGACGUAUAGGGUGUGAUGCCUGCCCGGUGCUGGAAGGUUAAUUGAUGGGGUUAGCGUAAGCGAAGCUCUUGAUCGAAGCCCCAGUAAACGGCGGCCGUAACUAUAACGGUCCUAAGGUAGCGAAAUUCCUUGUCGGGUAAGUUCCGACCUGCACGAAUGGCAUAAUGAUGGCGGCGCUGUCUCCAGCAGAGGCUCAGUGAAAUCGAAAUCGCUGUGAAGAUGCAGUGUACCCGCGGCUAGACGGAAAGACCCCGUGAACCUUUACUGCAGCUUGACACUGAACUUUGACCUUACUUGUGUAGGAUAGGUGGGAGGCUUUGAAGCUGGAACGCUAGUUCCAGUGGAGCCGUCCUUGAAAUACCACCCUGGUAAUGUUGAGGUUCUAACUCUGUCCCGUGAUCCGGGACGAGGACCGUGUCUGGUGGGUAGUUUGACUGGGGCGGUCUCCUCCUAAAGAGUAACGGAGGAGUACGAAGGUGCGCUCAGCGUGGUCGGAAAUCACGCGUAGAGUAUAAAGGCAAAAGCGCGCUUAACUGCGAGACCCACAAGUCGAGCAGGUACGAAAGUAGGUCUUAGUGAUCCGGUGGUUCUGUAUGGAAGGGCCAUCGCUCAACGGAUAAAAGGUACUCUGGGGAUAACAGGCUGAUACCGCCCAAGAGUUCAUAUCGACGGCGGUGUUUGGCACCUCGAUGUCGGCUCAUCUCAUCCUGGGGCUGAAGCAGGUCCCAAGGGUAUGGCUGUUCGCCAUUUAAAGAGGUACGCGAGCUGGGUUUAGAACGUCGUGAGACAGUUCGGUCCCUAUCUACCGUGGGCGCUGGAAAUUUGAGAGGAUCUGCUCCUAGUACGAGAGGACCAGAGUGGACGAACCUCUGGUGUACCGGUUGUGACGCCAGUCGCAUCGCCGGGUAGCUAUGUUCGGAAGGGAUAACCGCUGAAAGCAUCUAAGCGGGAAGCCUACCUCAAGAUAAGAUUUCCCUAGGACUUUAUGUCCUCUAAAGAGCCGUUCGAGACUAGGACGUUGAUAGGUUGGAUGUGGAAGCAUAGUGAUAUGUGAAGCUGACCAAUACUAAUUGCUCGUGAGGCUUGACU